CUCCACUACAGAGCUUGUUGAUGCUCUUCACUCUUUGAUACAUGUGGGCGGAUAAAAGGGUUCCUCUGUAUCAGUGAAGAAGAAACCAGCAAUGGAGUGUCUCAGGGAAACCCGAACUAAUUACCCCACUCAACUUUGGAGCAGGUGUAUAAGCAUAUUCUGCCACCUGGAGUUCACAAGUUACUGUUCGGG
rnacentral:lncRNA from 1 species